AACGCUAGCUACAGGCUUAACACAUGCAAGUCGAGGGGCAGCAUUGGAGUAGCAAUACUUCAGAUGGCGACCGGCGCACGGGUGAGUAACACGUAUCCAACCUGCCGCUUACUCGGGGAUAGCCUUUCGAAAGAAAGAUUAAUACCCGAUGGUAUAAAGAGUUCGCAUGUUCUCUUUAUUAAAGAAUUUCGGUAAGCGAUGGGGAUGCGUUCCAUUAGAUAGUUGGCGGGGUAACGGCCCACCAAGUCUACGAUGGAUAGGGGUUCUGAGAGGAAGGUCCCCCACAUUGGAACUGAGACACGGUCCAAACUCCUACGGGAGGCAGCAGUGAGGAAUAUUGGUCACUGGACGAGAGUCUGAACCAGCCAAGUAGCGUGAAGGAUGACUGCCCUGUGGGUUGUAAACUUCUUUUAUAAGGGAAUAAAGUGAGGGACGCGUCCCUUUUUGUAUGUACCUUAUGAAUAAGGAUCGGCUAACUCCGUGCCAGCAGCCGCGGUAAUACGGAGGAUCCAAGCGUUAUCCGGAUUUAUUGGGUUUAAAGGGAGCGUAGGUUGACAUAUAAGUCAGCUGUGAAAGUUUACGGCUCAACCGUGAAAUUGCAGUUGAUACUGUAUGUCUUGAGUGUACAAGAGGUGGGCGGAAUUCGUGGUGUAGCGGUGAAAUGCUUAGAUAUCACGAAGAACUCCGAUUG
rnacentral:rRNA from 1 species